GGCACUAUGGCGGAGUGGUUAACGCGAUGCCCUGCUAUAUCACUAUGUGUAUUAGCCUAGGCAUUCCCUUCGGGGGCGUGAGUUCGAAUCUCACUGGUGUCG
rnacentral:tRNA from 3 species